rnacentral:rRNA from 1 species
UUUUAGAAAUUAAUUUAAAGUCUAACCUGCCCACUGAAUUUAUUUUUAAAUGGCCGCAGUAUCCUAACUGUGCAAAGGUAGCAUAAUCAUUAGUCUUUUAAUUGAAGGCUGGAAUGAAUGGUUGAAUGAAAUAUUAACUGUUUCAUAUAAAUUUAUAAUAGAAUUUUAUUUUUUAGUCAAAAAGCUAAAAUAAAAUUAAAAGACGAGAAGACCCUAUAAAUCUUUAUAUUUAAAUAAUUUUAAUUAUUUAGAUAAAUUAAAUUAUAAUUAUUUUAAAUAUUUUAUUGGGGUGAUAUUAAAAUUUAAUAAACUUUUAAUUUAUAAUUAACAUAAAUUAAUGAAUUAUUGAUCCAUAUAUUAUGAUUAAAAAAUUAAGUUACUUUAGGGAUAACAGCGUAAUUUUUUUAGAGAGUUCAUAUUGAUAAAAA